GUCCUUGCCGUAAACGAUGUAUACUUGAUGUAGUUGGGCUCAACCCCGACUGUGUCGAAGCUAACGCGAUAAGUAUACCGCCUGGGGAGUACGCCCGCAAGGGUGAAACUUAAAAGAAUUGACGGGGGCCCGCACAAGCAGUGGAGCAUGUGGUUUAAUUCGAUGCAACGCGAAGAACCUUACCCAGACUUGACAUAUAGUGGAUCGCAUCAGAAAUGAUGUUUCUCGUAAGAGUCGCUAUACAGGUGCUGCAUGGCU
rnacentral:rRNA from 1 species